rnacentral:rRNA from 1 species
UACGAAGGGGACUAGCGUUGUUCGGAAUCACUGGGCGUAAAGCGCACGUAGGCGGAUGUGUCAGUCAGGGGUGAAAUCCCGGGGCUCAACCUCGGAACUGCCUUUGAUACAGCACGUCUCGAGUCCGGAAGAGGUGGGUGGAAUUCCUAGUGUAGAGGUGAAAUUCGUAGAUAUUAGGAAGAACACCGGUGGCGAAGGCGACACACUGGCCCGUUACUGACGCUGAGGCGCGAAAGCGUGGGGAGCAAACAGG